GCUUUGUAGGACAGCACAGUUGGUAGAGCGUAAGACUCAUCAUCUCAGGGUCAUGGGUUUGAGCCCCACAUUGGGCA